rnacentral:rRNA from 1 species
GUGGGGAAUAUUGGACAAUGGGCGCAAGCCUGAUCCAGCCAUGCCGCGUGAGUGAUGAAGGCCUUAGGGUUGUAAAGCUCUUUCAGUGGGGACGAUAAUGACGGUACCCACAGAAGAAGCCCCGGCUAACUUCGUGCCAGCAGCCGCGGUAAUACGAAGGGGGCUAGCGUGGUUCGGAUUUACUGGGCGUAAAGCGCACGUAGGCGGAUCGUUAAGUCGGGGGUGAAAUCCUGGAGCUCAACUCCAGAACUGCCUUUGAUAGUGGCGAUCUUGAGUACGGAAGAGGUAGGUGGAACUCCUAGUGUAGAGGUGGAAUUCGUAGAUAUUAGGAAGAACACCAGUGGCGAAGGCGGCUCACUGGUCCGGUACUGACGCUGAGGUGCGAAAGCGUGGGGAGCAAACAGGAUUAGAAACCCCAGUAGUCC